rnacentral:rRNA from 1 species
AUUGAACGCUGGCGGCAUGCUUUACACAUGCAAGUCGAACGGCAGCGCGGGCUUCGGCCUGGCGGCGAGUGGCGAACGGGUGAGUAAUGCAUCGGAACGUGCCCAGUAGUGGGGGAUAGCCCGGCGAAAGCCGGAUUAAUACCGCAUACGACCUGAGGGUGAAAGCGGGGGACCGAAAGGCCUCGCGCUAUUGGAGCGGCCGAUGUCGGAUUAGCUAGUUGGUGGGGUAAAGGCUUACCAAGGCGACGAUCCGUAGCUGGUCUGAGAGGACGACCAGCCACACUGGGACUGAGACACGGCCCAGACUCCUACGGGAGGCAGCAGUGGGGAAUUUUGGACAAUGGGGGCAACCCUGAUCCAGCCAUGCCGCGUGCGGGAAGAAGGCCUUCGGGUUGUAAACCGCUUUUGUUCGGGAAGAAAUACUCUGGGCUAAUACCCCGGGGGGAUGACGGUACCGAAAGAAUAAGCACCGGCUAACUACGUG